rnacentral:rRNA from 1 species
AGUGGCGGACGGGUGAGUAACGCGUGAGAAUCUGCCUUGGGGUCGGGGACAACCACUGGAAACGGUGGCUAAUACCGGAUAAGCCGAUUGGUGAAAGAUUUAUUGCCCGAAGAGGAGCUCGCGUCUGAUUAGCUAGUUGGUGAGGUAAGAGCUCACCAAGGCAGCGAUCAGUAGCUGGUCUGAGAGGACGAUCAGCCACACUGGGACUGAGACACGGCCCAGACUCCUACGGGAGGCAGCAGUGGGGAAUUUUCCGCAAUGGGCGAAAGCCUGACGGAGCAAGACCGCGUGAGGGAGGAAGGCUCUUGGGUUGUAAACCUCUUUUCUCAGGGAAGAAGCUCUGACGGUACCUGAGGAAUCAGCCUCGGCUAACUCCGUGCCAGCAGCCGCGGUAAUACGGAGGAGGCAAGCGUUAUCCGGAAUUAUUGGGCGUAAAGCGUCCGCAGGUGGCGAUUCAAGUCUGCUGUCAAAGCACGGGGCUUAACUCGUAAAGGCAGUGGAAACUGAAUAGCUAGAGUGCCGUAGGGGUAGAGGGAAUUCCCGGUGUAGCGGUGAAAUGCGUAGAGAUCGGGAAGAACAUCGGUGGCGAAAGCGCUCUACUGGACGGCAACUGACACUCAGGGACGAAAGCUAGGGGAGCGAAUGGGAUUAGAUACCCC